GCCGUCAGAAGUUGGGGGGUGGGAACGGCCUCAUGCAGGAGCUGAUUGCACAGCCAUUCAGCUCCUAUAUGAUGCCUUUCUUCACCCCCUUCAA
rnacentral:pre_miRNA from 1 species